ACGUAUGGGGCGAGCGUUGUUCGGAAUUAUUGGGCGAAAAGGGCGUCUAGGCGGGGGAUUAAGUUAGAUGUGAAAGCUAUGGGCUCAACCCAUAAAUUGCAAAUAUGACUGGUUCUAUUGAGUUCGGGAGAGGAGAGCGUAAUUCCAGGUGUAGCGGUGAAAUGCGUAGAUAGAUGGAAGGAGACCAGUGGCGAAGGCGGCUUUCUGGCCUAGAUUUGAUGCUUGAGCGCGAAAGCGAGUUGAGCGGACAG
rnacentral:rRNA from 1 species